CGAACCCUACGGGGCGCAGCAGUGAGGAAUAUUGAUCAAUGGUCGGGAGACUGAACCAGCCAAGCCGCGUGAGGGAUGAAGGUACAGAGUAUCGUAAACCUCUUUUGUCAGGGAACAAAGGCGGGGACGCGUCCCCGGAUGAGUGUACCUGAAGAAAAAGCAUCGGCUAACUCCGUGCCAGCAGCCGCGGUAAUACGGAGGAUGCGAGCGUUAUCCGGAUUUAUUGGGCUUAAAGGGUGCGCAGGCGGUCUGUUAAGUCAGCGGUCAAAGCCCGGGGCGCAACCCCGGCCCCGCGU
rnacentral:rRNA from 1 species